rnacentral:rRNA from 1 species
UAGGGAAUCUUCGGCAAUGGGGGGAACCCUGACCGAGCAACGCCGCGUGAGUGAAGAAGGUUUUCGGAUCGUAAAGCUCUGUUGUUAAGGAAGAACGAGUGUGAGAAUGGAAAGUUCAUACUGUGACGGUACUUAACCAGAAAGGGACGGCUAACUACGUGCCAGCAGCCGCGGUAAUACGUAGGUCCCGAGCGUUGUCCGGAUUUAUUGGGCGUAAAGCGAGCACAGGCGGUUAGAAAAGUCUGAAGUGAAAGGCAGUGGCUCAACCAUUGUAGGCUUUGGAAACUGUUUAACUUGAGUGCAGAAGGGGAGGGUGGAAUUCCAUGUGUAGCGGUGAAAUGCGUAGAUAUAUGGAGAAACACCGGUGGCGAAAGCGGCUCUCUGGUCUGUAACAAACGCUAAGGCUCGAAAGCGUGGGGAGCGAACAGG